rnacentral:tRNA from 1 species
GUCUAUAUAGAUUAUUCUUUUAAAUCGCGAUGCUGUUAACUUCGAGAAGGACUUUUGUCCUGUAGUCG